AGUUACUUUCAACUAACUGUUGGGACGCAGCGCGGACUACACACACUAACAGAACAAACUCUCUUCAUGAGUUUUGUGACAUUGUGUGUGGACAUAUUCUGGUGAAGUCGGAGCAGACUAUAGUGCCAGAACGGAAGAAAGACUGAAGGAAGUUUAACAAACGCCGAGGCGGUGAAUCACAUUUUCCAUGAAGAUGUACAAUGAAUAAUCGACUUUCAUAAAGCCGCUUUUUUGAGUUUUGCGUCGAAACAAUCAAACGCGACGUCUUAAGACUUUUUUCGUUCUUUGGAAUAUUUAAGAACGCUUUACAGAUAGCGAUAUUUUAAUAGUCUAAUCGAUGGUCUACAGUUUUCAUGUAUAUAGUUUCAUGUAUAUACAUUUGUAAACAAAACCGAGAUAGUAUAUUUUCGCCAUGUAGCUUUUUUCCCCCACGAUUCUGAGAUGGUUGUGUUGUGGGUUUGUGUCGUGGGAGGAAUGUGAGUGGAAGUGUCGCUCAUGGAGCUUCAGGUGGUGUGCGGAGUGCUCUACUGCUGCCUGCUGCCCAUCUUUUUACUGGCAGCCUGCAUAUUUCGCUACAACGCUCUCUCUUUAGUCUACCUUCUGUACCUGCUGCUAUUACCGUGGUUUCAAUGGCCCAACAAACACACACUACGAGUAGGGUCUGGAACUCCAGACUAGCAGUCGUUUUGCCAAACCACAGCUUGACUGAC